CGUCUUCCUCAUCGCACCGGCCCGGGUCGCCUCGCCUUCUCCAGCGUCCGAUCUCCCAUUCCCCACCUCUCUCUCCUCACCGCACCAACAACCACCAUCUCCUCGCCCCCUCCCUUCUCUCCCCUCCGCUCCCCAGCGCGGGCUCGCGCGUUUUUAUACGGGUUUCCGGGCGGGCGAUGGCCGACGGCGGGAGCCACGACAGCGGGAGCCCGAGGGGCGGUGGCGGGGGCGGGGUCAGGGAGCAGGACAGGUUCCUCCCCAUCGCCAACAUCAGCCGCAUCAUGAAGAAGGCCGUGCCGGCCAACGGCAAGAUCGCCAAGGACGCCAAGGAGACCCUGCAGGAGUGCGUCUCCGAGUUCAUCUCCUUCGUCACCAGCGAGGCCAGUGACAAGUGCCAGAAGGAGAAGCGCAAGACCAUCAACGGGGACGAUCUUCUCUGGGCGAUGGCCACGCUUGGCUUCGAGGAGUACGUGGAACCCCUCAAGAUCUACCUGCACAAGUACAGAGAUAUGGAGGGUGAUAGUAAAUUGACCUCAAAAUCUGGUGAUGGCUCCGUAAAGAAAGAUACAAUUGGUGCCCAUGGUGGUGCCAGUAGCUCAAAUGCACAAGCGAUGGUUCAACAUGGAGCUUACCCCCAAGGGAUGGGCUACAUGCAACCUCAGUACCAUAACGGGGACACCUAGAACUGAAGACUGGCAAUUUUCGGCAAGUGGCAUGAGAUUUAAGGAUGGGCAGUUACGUACAACUAUACUGUGAAACAUGCCCCACCUGUCAGCCUCUUGGGUCUUGGCCUUGCACCUCACCCUGUUGGAGAUUAAGAGACCGACGGGUGGGCUGGGUUUGUGUUACAAUUGAUGGUUCAACCACAGUUCUUGAGUUUUACUAUAGGAGAGCUUACAUCUGUAACUAUGUCAAAUAGUGCUUAUCUAUCUGUCAAGGAAGUCGCCCCUCCAUUAGGUUCAUGUUCAUUGGCUGAAAACUAAAGCACCAGAAAGGGUGCUUAACUGUUGUCUCCCAGAUGUAAAUUGCUUCCGCGAGAAUAGAUUCACCUGUGGUUUAGUCCUUGUUUUUAUCUGUAUAUUCAGAAUAAUUCAGCCAUUGAUAGUUUGGCAGUCUUUUGCUUUCAGAUAUUUGUAUUAUUAGGAAGCAUAAAUCUAUUGCAACUGGUUAUUAACUUGACAUUUCUUGA